UACGACUACAUAUCAGGCAUAUCAAUAAGCGGAGGAAAAGAAACUAACAAGGAUUCCCCUAGUAACGGCGAGUGAAGCGGGAAGAGCUCAAAUUUGAAAUCUUCAAGGUUUGACCUUGACGAAUUGUAGUUUAAAGAAGUGUUUUCGGUUAGAGGAGUAGUAAAAGUUCUUUGGAAUAGGACAUCAUAGAGGGUGUGAAUCCCGUAUUUGACUAUUCUUUCUAGCUUUGUGAUACACUUUCAAAGAGUCGGAUUGUUUGGGAAUGCAGUCCAAAAUGGGUGGUAAAUUUCAUCUAAAGCUAAAUAUUGGCGAGAGACCGAUAGCGAACAAGUACCGUGAGGGAAAGAUGAAAAGAACUUUGAAAAGAGAGUAAAACAGUACGUGAAAUUGUCAAAAGGGAAGCGUUUGACACCAGUGUUGUUUUUCCGAAAAUCAAUUAAAAAUGGCUUGAUUUUGUGUUGUAUUGACCUUAAAAGCUUUCUUCACUUUUUUCAUGUCUUUUUUAAUGCACUUUUCGUUUAACAAGUCAACAUCAGUUUCUUUUGUUGUAAAAGGGUCAUUGGAAGGUGGCUUUCUCUUCGGAGAAAGUGUUUAUAGCCUUUGCUCUCUGCAAUCGGAGAGAUUGAGGUCUGCAGCGUAGAUCCUUCGGGGUUAGAUACAUUUGUGCUAAGCUACAGCUUUUCAUAGACAACUUGUUGACUAUGUUUAGUCUUGUGACUUACCCGCUUAUGCUAUUUUACCUACGCUUAGGAUGUUGAGCGCAUGUCUCCUCU
rnacentral:rRNA from 1 species